UACGUAGGGGGCAAGCGUUGUCCGGAAUCAUUGGGCGUAAAGGGUGCGUAGGUGGCUUGGUAAGUUUGAUGUGAAAUCUCCGGGCUUAACCCGGAAAUGGCAUUGAAUACUAUUGAGCUGGAGGUUUGGAGGGGGGACUGGAAUUCUCGGUGUAGCAGUGAAAUACGUAGAUAUCGAGAGGAACACCAGUGGCGAAGGCGAGUCCCUGGACAACACCUGACACUGAGGCACGAAAGCUAGGGGAGCAAACAGG
rnacentral:rRNA from 1 species